rnacentral:misc_RNA from 1 species
AAUGAAAGAUGAAAUGAUGUUGAUGGAUAAUGGGGGUGAAGAGCUAAGAUAAGGGAGGGGCUGGUUAUGACAUCGUCCCAGCAGCCACCCUUCUCGCCGAUUUGAUGGGGGUGAAAUGAUAUCUUAAACUAGUACAUAUAAAAUUUUGUAAGUAAAAGGAAUAUAAUUGUAAGACUUAAAAUAGUAUUAACAGUAGUAUCGUACAUUGGUAUUUUUAUGUUUUUUUUUUUUUUUUUUUUUUUUUUUUUUUUUUUUUUUUUUUUUUUUUUUUUUUUUUUUUUUUUUUUUUUUGGCUGGCCUGGUGGUGGGGGGUGUGG